rnacentral:rRNA from 1 species
AGUGAACGCUGGCGGUAGGCCUAACACAUGCAAGUCGAACGGCAGCACAGUAAGAGCUUGCUCUUACGGGUGGCGAGUGGCGGACGGGUGAGGAAUACAUUGGAAUCUACUUUUUCGUGGGGGAUAACGUAGGGAAACUUACGCUAAUACCGCAUACGACCUACGGGUGAAAGCAGGGGAUCUUCGGACCUUGCGCGAUUGAAUGAGCCGAUGUCGGAUUAGCUAGUUGGCGGGGUAAAGGCCCACCAAGGCGACGAUCCGUAGCUGGUUUGAGAGGAUGAUCAGCCACACUGGAACUGAGACACGGUCCAGACUCCUACGGGAGGCAGCAGUGGGGAAUAUUGGACAAUGGGCGCAAGCCUGAUCCAGCCAUACCGCGUGGGUGAAGAAGGCCUUCGGGUUGUAAAGCCCUUUUGUUGGGAAAGAAAAGCAGCAGGUUAAUACCCCGCUGUUCUGACGGUACCCAAAGAAUAAGCACCGGCUAACUUCGUG